rnacentral:rRNA from 1 species
AAACUCUAGCUAAUGCCGGAUGAGACCACGUAUCCCCUUCGGGGGUUGCGGCCAAAGAUGGCCUCUACUUGUAAGCUAUCGCUGAGGGAUGGGCCUGCGGGCCAUUAGCUUGUUGGUGAGGUAACGGCUCACCAAGGCUGUGAUGGCUAGCUGGGUCUGAGAGGAUGACCAGCCACACUGGGACUGAGACACGGCCCAGACUCCUACGGGAGGCAGCAGUGGGGAAUAUUGCGCAAUGGGCGAAAGCCUGACGCAGCGACGCCGCGUGGGUGAUGAAGGCCUUCGGGUCGUAAAGCCCUGUCGCAGGGGAAGAAUAAGCAUCGGUAUAAUACGCCGGUGCCCUGACGGUACCCUGCAAGAAAGCACCGGCUAACUCCGUG